GGAUGCGAUCAUACUAGCACUAAAGCACCGGAUCCCAUCAGAACUCCGAAGUUAAGCAUGCUUGGGCGAGAGUAGUACUAGGAUAGGUGACCUCCUGGGAAGUCCUUGUGUUGCAUUCCC
rnacentral:rRNA from 1 species